rnacentral:rRNA from 1 species
GAAUUAUUGGACAAUGGGGCGCAACCCCUUGAUCCCAGCCCAUGCCCGCGUUGAGGUGAUGAAAGGCCCCUAGGGGUUUGUUAAAGCUCCUUUCGGGCGGGGGACAGAUAAAUGACGGGUACCCCGCAGAAAGAAAGCUCCCGGCUAAACUUUCGUGCCCAGCAAGCCCGCGGGUAAUACGAAAGGGGGGCUAGCGUUGUUCGGGAAUCACUGGGGCGUAAAAGCGCCACCUAGGCGGUUCUUCUAAGUCAGAGGUGAAAUCCCAGAGCUCAACUCCAGAAUUGCCUUUGAUACUAGAGAACCUUGAGUCCGGGAGAGGUGAGUGGAAUUCCGAGUGUAGAGGUGAAAUUCGUAGAUAUUCGCAAGAACACCAGUGGCGAAGGCGGCUCACUGGCCCGUGUACCUGACGCUCAGGCUGCGACAGCGUGGGGAGCAAACAGGAUUAGAUACCCUGGUAGUCCACGCCGUAAACGAUGGAUGCUAGCCGUUGGUAAGCAUGCCCGUCAGUGGCGCAGCUAACGCAU